rnacentral:rRNA from 1 species
UAGCUCAGGGUGUAAUGCAGCCUAUCUGGACCGAGGAACGCGCUUUUGCUCGGAUGCUGGCGUAAUGGUUGUAAGCGG